rnacentral:rRNA from 1 species
UCCGGUUGAUCCUGCCGGAAGAUACUGCUAUUCGGAUCCGACUAAGCCAUGCGAGUCGAGAGGGGUAAGCCCUCGGCGAACUGCUCAGUAAUAUGUAGCUAACCUACCCUUAGGUCGGGGAUAACCUCGGGAAACUGAGUUCAAUACCCGAUAGGAAUUUAGCUCUGGAAUGACUAAAUUCCCAAAGCUCCGGCGCCUAAGGAUGGGGCUACAUCCCAUCAGCCUGUUGGGGGUGUAACGAACCCUCAAAGCUAUAACGGGUACGGGCCGUGAGAGCGGAAGCCCGGAGAUGGAUUCUGAGACAUGAAUCCAGGUCCUACGGGACGCAGCAGGCGCGAAACCUUCGCAAUGUGCUCACGCACGACGAGGGGAUCGGAAGUGCUACAGUACUGCUGUAGCUUUUGUCGAGUCCAAACAGCUCGGCGAAUAAGGGGUGGGUAAGACAGGUGCCAGCCGCCGCGGUAAUACCUGCGCCCCAAGUGGUAUCCAGUAUUAUUGGGCCUAAAGCGUCCGUAGCCGGUCUGACAAGUCUUCGGUGAAAUCCACUAGUAAACUAGUGGGCUUGUCGGAGAUACUGUCAGACUUGGGACCGGGAGAGGGUAGGGGUACUCCUAGGGGAGGGGUAAAAUCCUAUAAUCCUAGGGGGACCACCGGUGGCGAAGGCGCCUACCUAGAACGGUUCCGACGGUGAGGAACGAAAGCUAGGGGAGCGAUCGGGAUUAGAUACCCCGGUAGUCCUAGCCGUAAACGAUGCCCGCUUGGUGUUGCAAUCUUCUCGUGAGAUUGCAGUGCUGGAAUGUAGAUGUUAAGCGGGCCGCCUGGGGAGUACGGCCGCAAGGUUGAAACUUAAGGAAUUGGCGGGGGAGCACACAAGGGUGGAGGCUGCGGUUCAAUUGGAUUCAACGCCGGAAAUCGGAUCCCGGGC